GGCGUCCUGCCCCUGGACCUUCUCUACGACGUCCUGCUGCGCCUCCCCGCCGAGACGCUCUGCCGUUUCCGCGCUGUUUGCAGGUCAUGGCGAUCGCUGCUCAGCCACGCGGACUUCAUCGCCGCUGCCCGUAACCCUGGCCCGCUCAUCGCUGCUGGCAUAAAAGAUUACUUAUCAAAAAACGAGGUCACCGUCCUCGACAUGGAGUCCGGCGACGCCGUCACGCGGGUAAACGUCGCCAACAACGACCUUACAUACCCCAUGAGUCACGACCGCGUGGUCUGUAUCCUCGAUCCACAGAACCGGCUCCGCCUGUUCGACCCCGCCAACGGCGAUGUCUUCCUCUUGCCCGACCAUGCGCCGCCUGAGGGGCACAUAUUAAUCUGGUCCCCGGUCGGGGGCGCUGCCUCCACACGAGAGCACAAGGUGCUCGCCAUCACCACAUCGACAUCAGCUAGGCACGAGCCGUUUGUCUGCAAGAUCCUCACCCUCGGCCUCGGUGACGAUGGUUGGAGGGUUACACAGAGUCCUCCGUUGAUGCUGGUUGGAGACGUUGCUGUGAUCAAUGGGGUCGCCUACUUUCUCUCGAGCUAUGCGUACCACCAGACCAUGGUGUAUCAACAGAUCAUGGCGUUCAACUUCAGCAAGGAGGUGUGGCGAUCGUCCGCGGAUUCCCUUCGAGGCCCAGCAAACUGCCAAUGCAUCAAGUUGGCCGAGUUGGAAGGUCAACUGGUCGCAUGCCAGUCCACCAAUCGCCUCACCUCCUCCAUUGAGCUAUGGUUCCUCAUGGACUCGGACCGGUCUCUCUGGUUCAAACGGUACACCAUCAACAUGCCAGCCUACCAAACCCAAACCCACCAGCCACAGAUGUGCUACACCGCUGAGUUCUUCCAGAAGCCAUUAGCAGUGUUGGAUGAUGGGAGGAUUGUGAUUUACAUGCGCCGGCAGGGGUGCAUCUUCAGAAAAGGAAUAUUGCGGAUCUACAACCCAAGAACCAAGACAUUCAAGGAUGGGACAUUGGUACCCCAUUGUAACCAUAUGAGCCUCUUCACGUGGAACUUGUUG
rnacentral:rRNA from 1 species